AGUGGUUGUAGACGCGAAACCUUGCGAUCUACCCUUGAGCAGGUUGAAGGUUGGGUAAAACCAACUGGAGGACCGAACGAAUAAGCGUUGAAAAGCUUCUCGAUGACUUGAGGGUAGGGGUGAAAGGCUAAUCAAGCUGGGAAAUAGCUCGUACUCCCCGAAAUGCCUUUUGGGGCAGCGUUGUAAUAAAGAGUCUACUGGAGGUAGAGCUACUGAUUGGAUGCGGGGGCUUCACCGCCUACCAAAUCCUGACAAACUCCGAAUGCCAGUAGUAUGAUUUACAGCAGUGAGUGACUGGGUGCUAAUGUCCAGUCGCAAAAGAGGAACAACUCAGACCAGCAACUAAGGUCCCGAAGAAUAUGCUAAGUUGAUCUAACGAUGUUUUGUUGCAGAGACAGCUAGGAUGUUAGCUUGGAAGCAGCUAUUCAUUCAAAGAGUGCGUAACAGCUCACUAGUCGAGCGACAGAGCGUGGAUAAUAAACGGGCAUCAAGCAUAUCACCGAAGUUCUGGGCGCGAGAGCGCGGUAGGGGAGCAUUCCAUUCAGCGUCGAAGCAGUUUCGUGAGGAAUUGUGGAGCGUAUGGAAAAGCAAAUGUAGGCAUGAGUAACGAUAAUGCGGGAGAGUAACCCGCACACCGCAAGACCAAGGUUUCCUGAUCAACGCUAAUCGGAUCAGGGUUAGUCGGGUCCUAAGGGUAAGCCGAACGGCGAUCUCGAUGGAUAAUCGGUUAAUAUUCCGAUACUAACAUAUACCUCGAUGGAGAGACGAAGGAACGUAAGUGCCGCCACCUGACGGAAUAGGUGGUUAAAGGGCGUAGGUAUAGGGGCAGAUUAAGAGUUAGUCCUUGCUGAAACCUGACAGUACAGAGAGCCUACGGGCAAUUUGAUAGUGCACCCAAGUCGACUUCCGAGAAAAUCUUCUAAGUUAUAGUAUAUGUUACCCGUACCGUAAACCGACACAGGUGGUCGAGGAGAGUAUCCUAAGGUGCUCGAGUGAAUCACGGUUAAGGAACUAGGCAAAUUAACCCCGUAACUUCGGGAAAAGGGGUCCCUAUGAAAGUAGGGCGCAGCGAAGAGGUCCAGGCGACUGUUUAUCAAAAACACAGGGCUCUGCAAAUUCGAAAGAAGACGUAUAGGGCCUGACACCUGCCCGGUGCUGGAAGGUUAAGAGGGGAUGUCAUCGCAAGAGAAGCAUUGAAUCGAAGCCCCAGUAAACGGCGGCCGUAACUAUAACGGUCCUAAGGUAGCGAAAUUCCUUGUCGGGUAAGUUCCGACCUGCACGAAUGGUGUAACGAUCUGGACACUGUCUCAACCGUGAGCUCGGUGAAAUUGUAGUCCCGGUGAUGAUGCCGGGUACCCGCAACGGGACGAAAAGACCCCGUGAACCUUUACUAUAGCUUAACGCUGAAUUUGGGUACACAAUGUGUAGGAUAGGCCGGAGGCUUUGAAGCGGGCACGCCAGUGUUCGUGGAGCCGACGUUGAAAUACGGCCCUUUGUGUAUUUGAGUUCUAACCCUGCGAAGGGGACACCGUUUGGUGGGUAGUUUGACUGGGGUGGUCGCCUCCAAAAGCGUAACGGAGGCUUCCCAAGGUACCCUCAGCACGAAUGGUAACCGUGCGCGGAGUGCAAUAGCAUAAGGGUGCUUGACUGUGAGACAUACAAGUCGACCAGGUACGAAAGUAGGGUAUAGUGAUCCGGUGGUUCUGCGUGGACUGGCCAUCGCUCAAAGGAUAAAAGGUACUCCGGGGAUAACAGGCUGAUCGCCGCCAAGAGCUCAUAUCGACGCGGCGGUUUGGCACCUCGAUGUCGGCUCGUCACAUCCUGGGGCUGGAGAAGGUCCCAAGGGUUCGGCUGUUCGCCGAUUAAAGUGGCACGCGAGCUGGGUUCAGAACGUCGUGAGACAGUUCGGUCUCUAUCUGUUGCGGGCGUAGGAA
rnacentral:rRNA from 1 species